GACGAACGCUGGCGGCGUGCCUAAUACAUGCAAGUAGAACGCUGAAGGAGGAGCUUGCUUCUCCGGAUGAGUUGCGAACGGGUGAGUAACGCGUAGGUAACCUGCCUGGUAGCGGGGGAUAACUAUUGGAAACGAUAGCUAAUACCGCAUAAGAGUAGAUGUCGCAUGACAUUUGCUUAAAAGGUGCAACUGCACCACUACCAGAUGGACCUGCGUUGUAUUAGCUAGUUGGUGAGGUAACGGCUCACCAAGGCAACGAUACAUAGCCGACCUGAGAGGGUGAGAGGCCAAACUGGGACGGGGACAUGGCCCAGAAUCCUGCGGGAGGCAGCAGGAGGGGAUCUUUGGCAAUGGACGGAAGGCUGACCGUGCAACGCCGGGUGAGUGAAGAAGGUUUUCGGGUCGUAAAGCUCUGUUGUAAGAGAAGAACGAGUGGGAGAGUGGAAAGUUCACACUGUGACGGUAUCUUACCAGAAAGGGACGGCUAACUACGUG
rnacentral:rRNA from 1 species